UAUAUAUGACACCUCCACAGAUUCAUGCGACUAGUGAUGAACUGUAGGCCACAGCAAUGGAGAGGAACUUUCAUCUCAUGUUGAACAGGAUCUCACUGAUCUAUUUAUUGGUUCUUUCUCAACUACCAGAUAAUUAUGGAGCUUCUGAAGCUUACAAGAUCUUCCAAACACCCCAUACCAUCAUUAAAAAACCUGCUGAAUCUGUUCUCAAUGAGAUUCACUGUUCACACAGUGUACCAGCUUUUGAGCAUAUCCUUUGGUUCAAACAAAACAAACAUGGAGCUUUCCGGUUCCUUGGAUACCUGAACAGAGACUUUCUUUUCCCAGAGGACGACGUGAAAGACAGGAUCAGCUUUGUUGGAGACGGCAGCAAACAUUCGACCCUGAAUAUUGGUAAUCUUUCAGAAGAUGACAGUGCAGUUUAUUUCUGUGCUGCCAGCAGACACGGUACAACAGAACCCUCCUAAGUAAUACAAAAACUCUGAGGAAAGAUAAAGAUCUAAACACCUGCAGCCAGCUUCCAUGUAAAAAAAACCCCAUCUAGUUUCUGUCUGGGUUGGCUAACCAUUGAUCAAUAAGAACUUUGUAA